CCUACGGGCGGCAGCAGUGGGGAAUAUUGGACAAUGGGGGGAACCCUGAUCCAGCCAUGCCGCGUGUGUGAAGAAGGCCCUCGGGUUGUAAAGCACUUUCAGUGAGGAAGAACGCCUGGUGGUUAAUACCCAUCAGGAAAGACAUCACUCACAGAAGAAGCACCGGCUAACUCCGUGCCAGCAGCCGCGGUAAUACGGAGGGUGCGAGCGGUAAUCGGAAUUACUGGGCGUAAAGCGCGCGUAGGUGGCUUGAUAAGCCGGUUGUGAAAGCCCCGGGCUCAACCUGGGAACGGCAUCCGGAACUGUCAAGCUAGAGUGCAGGAGAGGAAGGUAGAAUUCCCGGUGUAGCGGUGAAAUGCGUAGAGAUCGGGAGGAAUACCAGUGGCGAAGGCGGCCUUCUGGACUGACACUGACACUGAGGUGCGAAAGCGUGGGUAGCAAACAGGAUUAGAUACCCCAGUAGUC
rnacentral:rRNA from 1 species